UUGAACUAAUUCUCCAACAAAUACAUAAAUGGUGAAAAGAGGGAAUAUUUUGUAAGAAUUAUGCGUAGGACAUCUAUACUUGAGGGAAUGUCCUAAAGAGAAUCAGUGUGACCAAGUCACAUGCAUCAAGGGGCAACUCAGACCUCUGAGACAGUAAAGCUGCUGAUGCCAUCAAUUAAUGUCACUGUGCUGCUUUCCUACCAGGCAAUCUUCUCUGCUGCUCUCCACCAGAGAUUACUUUGCAUCUUUGAUGGUCAUAAAUUUCAGCUUUGUUCAUGGUCACCUCAAACCCUGUACAACAUGCAUUAUCUAUGCUUGUAUUUGUGUUCCUCCACCGGCUCAUCUAGCCAUCACCAUCAUCCACUGAGGUAUGCUGUAGUUAAUAAGCCUCUUUGUCUGCAGAUGAGAGGUUACAACUCUUUCAUUUGGCUUCAUCAGUUUGCUGUUUGAGCCUCCUUCUAUGCUUCAGCUCUACUCCUCAGCUGUGGGGCUACCUUCAGAUCCACCUGCAAUUUAACCCUCAUUUGCUGUAGAUGCUAUGCUUAGUAAACUUCUCUUGGGCAGAAAGGACAACAGCCCUCUUCAGCAUGGCUUCUCAGGAUUUAUCAUGUCCCCAGGCUACUGUGAAUGUCCCAAGGAUCUACUUCCUCAAAUAGAAAAGGAAUCGAAGAACACUGUAGUAAUGUAACUGUUUUAAUUGCAUCCCAGUGAACCCUCUGUUGUAGUUAAUGAACAGUAAGCAGAAUAGGAUCUUGUAUGCUCCGUACCAGUGGUCUCCAAACUUUUUGAUGGUACACCCUUAUCAAUAAGAAAAAAUGUUGAGUAUGCACCC